CUACCUAAACUCAACAUAAAGAAAUUCCCCCAAUCAUGCCAAACUAAUCAACAUCAUAAUUUGGCAGAAUUUCAAUCCCACAAGUUUCCACAAUAACCAAAUAAAACAAGCAAAUGCAGAUCAGUGGAAAGCCCCUCCUAAAAGAUUAUGACACAUCAACUACCAAUAAUCAAGAUUAGAACUUUACACAAUUCCAAACAAUGCCAAUUCUGAAGCAACUCUUUUUAUUAUUCCCUUAUA
rnacentral:lncRNA from 1 species